rnacentral:lncRNA from 1 species
UUUAUUUAUAAAAUAUAUCCCAUCCUGUCAAAUACUGCUAGAAAAAAGGGUUCAUCUAGAAGAUGUUGAGGUUAGAGCAUAUAUUUUCAUUGACAGAACUUUAGUUAUUUGAACUUUUGCAAUCCCAUGUAAAUUAUCUUAUCUUGUAUUCCAAAAAUCCCAUGCUAUCCACAUCUAUUUGGUUCCUGAGUUCAGACACUAAGAAAUACAAUCUUAUCUAAAUCAAUUUGAUUUUCAAGUUUCAGAAAGUAGAAAGUUUGAUUUAUCAGAAUUGUUUUUUCCUAAAUUCAGAAUGUGACAAAUAUUUAUUUUCAAUGGGUUACUAGAUUUGAUUUGCUAAUUUAUAAUGCUGUAUUUUCAUAACUGAUUCUGGACAAAUUGUUUUGGGUUCUAGUAGGUUGUAACAUCAGGAUUAUGACAAAUUUUAAAAAUAGAUAAUUUGCUAUCUCAGUCUAUGUCCUAGAAGAGUUUCCUAAGACAUUUCAUAGAUUUCACCUAUAAAAAUCUCUACCUUGGUGUCUUUUUUAGUGUAGCAAUUUGACAUUUAAAAUAUAUUUUAAGAAAAAUUUUAUUUCACUUAUUUAUUUUUGAGAGAGUUUCACUCUUGUUGCCCAGGCUGGAGUGCAAUGGCAUGAUCCCCGCUCACCGCAAUCUCUGCCUCCCGGGUUCAAGCCUUUCUCCUGCCUCAGCCUCCUGAGUAGCCGGGAUUACAGGCAUGAGCCACCACGCCCGGCUAAUUUUUUGUAUUUUUAGUAGAGACAGGGUUUCUCCAUGUUGGUCAGGCUGGUCUCAAAUCCCCGACCUCAGGUGAUCCACCCGCCUUGGCCUCACAGAAUGCUGAGAUUACAGGCGUGAGCCACCAUGCCUGGCCAGUCUUAUUUUUUUAAAUAAGUUUAUUCUGGAGGGAGGUCUAUUAAGAUUUUACACCUCCAGUUAAUUCUGAUGUCGUCAACUUAUUAAAAAUCACAGACUUUUUCCAGAUUUUCAGAUAUAUUAUAAAAAUGUCUAUAAUACCAACUUUUAAGUUUGUUGUUUUAAUUUUUUUUUUUUUCUGUAGAGAUGAGGGGAGGGGGAUCUCAUUAUGUUACCUAGACUGGUCUUGAACUCCUGGCCUCAAGCCAUUCUCCUACCUCAGCCUCCCAAAGUGCUGGAAUUACAGGCAUGAGCCACUGCAACCAGCCUUAAGUUUUUAAAUUGAGAUCAAAUUCACACAGCAUAAUAUUCACCCUUUUAAAGUGUAUAGUUGAGUGACCUGUAGUAUAUAAACAAAAUUGUACAACCUUUACCCAUGCCACAUUUUCAUUACCCCAAAUGACACAGUUCUUUUAAGUUUACAUAUAUAGCCAUUUCAAUUUCUCAUAUACAAUAUUGUUUAUUUGUCAUCCUUAUUUCACCUCUGGAAUCACUAAACUUUGUCUCAUUUUUUUUCUCUUCCAUCAAAUAUCAAUUUUGGAUUCAGAUCCAGUUUUUUUCUUUCAAUUAUUUCUGCCUUUUAAAAUAAUACUACCUCCUUCCUCCCACAAUUCAUUUCAGCUUGUUUUAGUUCCUUGGGUUCUAUAUUUUUUCUUCCUAGUAUUACAAUAUAUGCACAAAUAUUAGGUUAUAAAACUUCCAAUACAACUUUUACUGCCACUCACAGGUUUUUCAAUUGUUUUCAUUUUCAUGUACAUUUAAAUAAUGUAUAUAUUAGGGAUUUAUUCCUUAACCCAUGUUAAUUAAGAGGGAAUAUUGAAUUAAUAAUCAGAUAUUUGAUGGUUAUCCUAUUGUACUGCUUCUUCUGGUCAAAUAAUGUUGCCAGUAUGUUUUCUGCAUUUUGGGGGGAAAUAUUAGAAAAAAUUUUAUAAUCUCUUCCUGCUUUUUUGACAGCUGUGCUUUCUACUACUCAUCAUAUUUUCAGGGUUUCAGAUUGGUAACCGUUUAUUUUUUAUUUUGUAAGACAGAGUCUCGCUCUGUCACCCAGUCUGGAGUGUGCAGUGGUGCAAUCUCAGCUCACUAUAACCUCCAACUCCCAGGUUCAAGCAAUCCUCCCACCUCAGCCUCUUGAGUAGCUAGGAUUACAGGCAUGCAACACCAUGCCUGGCUAUUUGUUUUUGUUUUUGUUUUUUUUGUAUUUUUAGUAGAGACGGGGUUUCACCAUGUUGGCCAGGCUGGUCUCGAGCUCCUGACCUCAAGUGAUCCACCCACCUUGGCCUCCCAAAGUGCUAGGAUUACAGGUGUGAGCCACCGCGCCCAGCCUCAGACUGGUAUUCUUUAUGUAGCAUAAAAGAUAAAGUCUGAACAAAGACUAUGCACACAUACUUUUUCUCUUCCUUUUAAAAUUCCACACUGAAUAAUAAUGAUAGGGAAAGGCUUCGUUAUACUCAUUACAAGUGUUUCUCUUUUUCCACCAUGAAUUACAAAUUUGCCAAAGGUAAACAACAUGGUUAAAAUCCUUUCCAUAAAUCCUAAUGAAGAUACUUAUGAUAAUGAGUAUAUCACUGAUAAUAGUGGAAAACUUUUACUAAACCUGUAUUAUGUGAUAACAGUUUGAGGUACUUUGCAUUUAUUAAUUCAUUGACUCUUCACAGCAAUCCAAUACAUACAGCCUUAUUAUAGAUGCCUAGACAUAAUUUUUUAAAAUACCACUAACAGCCAGGGGCGGUGGCUCACACCUAUAAUCCCAGCACUUUGGGAAGCCAAGGCAGGAGGAUCACGAGGUCAGGAGUUUGAGAGCAGCCUGGCCAAUAUGGUGAAACCCCAUCUCUACUAAUAAUACAAAAAUUAGCUAGGCAUGGUGGCGCGCGCCUGUAGUCCCAGCUACUCGGGAGGCUGAGGCGGAAGACUCACUUGAACUCGGGAGGCAGAGGUUGCAGUGAGCCGAGAUUGCACCACUGCCCUCCAGCCUGGGCAACAGAGCGAGACUGUGUCUCAAAAAACAAAAACACCACUAAUAGCUAUAAGAAAAAAUAAUUGACCGGGCACAGUGGUCAGCUUUUAUAGCUGCAAAAAUUUAGUGGCAACCAUAAUGGGAAUAGUCAUUUUAAAGUCAUUAAAUAUGUCAUGAAAAUAAUAAAAAUCUAUAUUUACUGAAAUGGCACUCAUGAAAUCUUUGGCAUGAUAAAAGCAGUUAAGGGUACAGCAUGCAUAUCAUAAUUACACUUUCUUAAAAAAGCAAAGUAUAGCACGAUUUUCUCUACCAAAUUGAGAGCAGCCAUCUAUAAGUAUGAUUACAAUUAAUUUUGGCUUUUUAGUUUGUAAUUUUUUGCUUUGUGAUUUUGGCUUAACAAUUAAAAAUGUACAUUUGUAAAAUAAAAAGACCGGCCGCAGUGGCUCACGCCUGUAAUCCCAGCACUUUCGGAGGCCGAGGCGGGUGGAUCACCUGAAGUCGGGAGAUUGAGACCAUCCUGGCUAACAUGGUGAAACCCCGUCUCUACUAAAAAUACAAAAAAUUAGCCGGGUGUUGUGGCACAUGCCUGUAAUCCCAACUACUCAAAAGGCUGAGGCAGAAGAACCACUUGAACCUGGGAGGCGAAGGUUGUGACGAGCCGAGAUUGCACCAUUGCACUCCAGCCUAGGCAACAAGAGCGAAACUCCGUCUCAACAAAAAAUAAAGCCAGGUGCAAUCGCUCAUGCCUGUAAUCCCAGCACUUUGGGAGGCUGAGGCAGGUGGAUCACCUGAGGUCAGGAGUUCAAGACUAUCCUGACCAACAUGGAGAAACCCUGUCUCUACUAAAAAUAGAAAAUUAGCAGGGUGUGGUGGCACACGCCUGUGAUCCCAGCUACUCAGGAGUCUGAGGCAGGAGAAUUGCUUGAAGCCGGGAGGUGGAGGUUGCAGCGAGCCGAGAUUGCGCCACUGCACUCCAGCCUGGGCAACAGAGUGAAAC